CUCGUAGGCGGUCCGUCACGUCGGAAGUGAAAACCCGGAGCUUAACUCCGGGCCUGCUUUCGAUACGGGCGAACUUGAGCUCGGUAGGGGAGACUGGAACUCCUGGUGUAGCGGUGGAAUGCGCAGAUAUCAGGAAGAACACCGAUGGCGAAGGCAGGUCUCUGGGCCGAUACUGACGCUGAGGAGCGAAAGCGUGGGGAGCAAACA
rnacentral:rRNA from 1 species